GAGUUUGAUCUUGGCUCAGAUUGAACGCUGGCGGCAUGCCUUACACAUGCAAGUCGAACGGCAGCAUGAUCUAGCUUGCUAGAUUGAUGGCGAGUGGCGAACGGGUGAGUAAUACAUCGGAACGUGCCCUGUAGUGGGGGAUAACUAGUCGAAAGAUUAGCUAAUACCGCAUACGACCUGAGGGUGAAAGUGGGGGACCGCAAGGCCUCAUGCUAUAGGAGCGGCCGAUGUCUGAUUAGCUAGUUGGUGGGGUAAAGGCCCACCAAGGCGACGGUCAGUAGCUGGUCUGAGAGGACGAUCAGCCACACUGGGACUGAGACACGGCCCAGACUCCUACGGGAGGCAGCAGUGGGGAAUUUUGGACAAUGGGCGAAAGCCUGAUCCAGCAAUGCCGCGUGUGUGAAGAAGGCCUCGGUGUAAG
rnacentral:rRNA from 1 species